rnacentral:rRNA from 1 species
CACGUAGGGCGCAAGCGUUGUCCGGAAUUAUUGGGCGUAAAGAGCUCGUAGGCGGUCUGUUGCGUCCGCUGUGAAAACCUCGGGGCGUUAACCCCGAGCCUGGCAGUGGAUACGGGCAGACUAGAGGUAGGUAGGGGAGAAUGGAAGUUCCCGGUUGUAGCGGUGAAAUGCGCAGAUAUCGGGAGGAACACCGGUGGCGAAGGCGGUUCUCUGGGCCGUUACCUGACGCUGGAGGAGCGAAAGCGUGGGAGCGAACAGGU